GACAGAGGGUGCAAACGUUGUUCGGAAUUACUGGGCGUAAAGCGCGUGUAGGCUGUCCCGCAAGUCGGAUGUGAAAUCCCAGGGCUCAACCCUGGAAGUGCACCCGAAACUGCGAGACUGGAGUCCUGGAGAGGAAGGUGGAAUGCUCGGUGUAGAGGUGAAAUUCGUAGAUAUCGAGCGGAACACCAGUGGCGAAGGCGGCCUUCUGGACAGUGACUGACGCUGAGACGCGAAAGCGUGGGGAG
rnacentral:rRNA from 1 species